rnacentral:lncRNA from 10 species
AACUAACUGUUUCCUCAGCCGCGUCCAGCCUCGCAGCACUGCUCUUCUGCUUGCUACUCCAGCGAAGGGACAUGCCUGCUGGCCAGGACGCUUAGUGGGCCUCGUAACCUGGCGAGUGUGUGCCCGCGCGUGUCCACCCUGCCCCCGGCCGGUGCGCCCCGCGCGCCCAAACCCGGCCGGCGACCACUGCGCGCCGGGCGCUUCCAAACUGCUCCUGUCCAGAGGCAUCCCUCUUUCGGCUUUCUCCAUCCCGCGUCCGCUUCCGCACCCGAGAGCGACAAGCAAAAAAGAUUCAGUGCAACUCAAGGACUGGUUUGUUAUACUCAAAAUGUACCAGGAACAGGAACAAAAGUAUUUUAUAAAAUAAUUAAUUUUUAUGGGCUAUGAGUCCCAAAUGGUUAUGUAAUCAAAGUGGAAGCAGAAAAGCAUGGCUUAGAAAAUAAUUGGUCAUGUCAUGUCACGCUUAACACAUGUGCAGACUCUGCCCUCCAGGUUGCAGUGCGAUGGUGUGAUCAAUGCUCAUAGUAGCUUCAAACUCCCAGGAUCAAGUGAUCCUCCUAAAUAAACCUCCUGAGUAGCUGGGACUACAGCUUCCACCAUGGGAUGAUACAGCAUGAAGGCCCUCACCAGAUAUGCACCCCUUGAUUUUGGACUUCCCAGACUCCAGAACUAUCUCUGUGGUUACUCUGUGAAUUGGUCUGUACAGGCCCACUUGAGUACAGAUGAGCCAUUUCAGCUAAGCCUACAAGACACUUCCAGCUAAACCUAGCCCAAAUUGCCAACUUGCAGAAUUGUAAGCUAAAUAAAUGACUGUAAGCCGUUAA